GAUGAACGCUGGCGGCGCGCCUAACACAUGCAAGUCGAACGAUUAAAGCACCUUCGGGUGUGUAUAAAGUGGCGAACGGCUGAGUAACACGUGGGCAACCUGCCCCUCUCAUUGGGAUAGCCACGGGAAACCGUGGAUAAUACCGAAUACUUCGAGACUUCCGCAUGGAAGACUCGAGAAAGCUCCGGCGGAGAGGGAUGGGCCCGCGGCCUGUUAGCUUGUUGGUGGGGUAACGGCCUACCAAGGCAAUGAUGGGUAGCUGGGUUGAGAGACCGACCAGCCAGAUUGGGACUGAGACACGGCCCAGACUCCUACGGGAGGCAGCAGUGGGGAAUCUUGCACAAUGGGCGAAAGCCUGAUGCAGCGACGCCGCGUGCGGGAUGAAGGCCUUCGGGUUGUAAACCGCUUUCAGCAGGGACGAGGCGAAAGUGACGGUACCUGCAGAAGAAGC
rnacentral:rRNA from 2 species